AGAGUUUGAUCCUGGCUCAGGAUGAAUGCUGGCGGCGUGCCUAACACAUGCAAGUCGAGCGGCAGCGAGUUUUACACUGAAUUCUGGAAGCUUCUGGGUAAUAUAGAAGAUUUAUUCAAGAAUUUUGUGUAAAAUGUCGGCGAGCGGCGGACGGCUGAGUAACGCGUAGGAAUUUGCCCCAAAGUGAGGAAUAACUGCCCGAAAGGGUAGCUAAUGCCGCAUAUGGUCUUCGGAUUAAAGCCUUCGGGCGCUUUGGGAGAAGCCUGCGUUGGAUUAGGUAGUUGGUAGGGUAAUGGCCUACCAAGCCGACGAUCCAUAGCUGGUCUGAGAGGAUGAUCAGCCAGACUGGAACUGAGACACGGUCCAGACUCCUACGGGAGGCAGCAGUGAGGAAUCUUCCACAAUGGGCGAAAGCCUGAUGGAGCAACGCCGCGUGAAGGAUGAAGGCCUUCGGGUUGUAAACUUCUUUUAUGAGUGAAGAAUAUGACGGUAACUCAUGAAUAAGCACCGGCUAACUACGUGCCAGCAGCCGCGGUCAUACGUAGGGUGCAAGCAUUAUCCGGAGUGACUGGGCGUAAAGAGUUGCGUAGGCGGUUUAAUAAGUGAAUAGUGAAACCUGGUGGCUCAACCAUACAGACUAUUAUUCAAACUGUUAAACUCGAGAAUGGUAGAGGUAACUGGAAUUUCUAGUGUAGGAGUGAAAUCCGUAGAUAUUAGAAGGAACACCGAUGGCGUAGGCAGGUUACUGGGCCAUUUCUGACGCUAAGGCACGAAAGCGUGGGGAGCGAACCGGAUUAGAUACCCGGGUAGUCCACGCCGUAAACGAUGGAUACUAGCUGUUGGAGGUAUCGACCCCUUCAGUAGCGAAGCUAACGCGUUAAGUAUCCCGCCUGUGGAGUACGGCCGCAAGGCUAAAACAUAAAGGAAUUGACGGGGACCCGCACAAGCGGUGGAUUAUGUUCUUUAAUUCGAUGAUAACCGAAGAACCUUACCAGGGCUUGACAUCCAGGGAAGGUCUGCGAAAGUAGACUGUGCCUUUUGGAACCCUGUGACAGGUGAUGCAUGGCCGUCGUCAGCUCGUGUCGUGAGAUGUUAGGUUAAGUCCUUCAACGAGCGCAACCCUUGUGAAUAGUUGUAUUUUUCUAUUCAGACUGCCCCGGUAACGGGGAGGAAGGAGGGGAUGAUGUCAGGUCAGUAUUUCCCUUACG
rnacentral:rRNA from 1 species